AUUGAACGCUGGCGGCAUGCUUUACACAUGCAAGUCGAACGGUAACAGGUUAAGCUGACGAGUGGCGAACGGGUGAGUAAUGCAUCGGAACGUGCCCGGUCGUGGGGGAUAACGCAGCGAAAGCUGCGCUAAUACCGCAUACGAUCUAAGGAUGAAAGCGGGGGACCGUAAGGCCUCGCGCGAUCGGAGCGGCCGAUGUCAGAUUAGGUAGUUGGUGGGUUAAAGGCUCACCAAGCCAACGAUCUGUAGCUGGUCUGAGAGGACGACCAGCCACACUGGGACUGGGACACGGCCCAGACUCCUACGGGAGGCAGCAGUGGGAAUUUUGGACAAUGGGCGAAAGCCUGAUCCAGCAAUGCCGCGUGCAGGAAGAAGGCCUUCGGGUUGUAAACUGCUUUUGUACGGAGCGAAAAGGUCUCCUCUAAUACAGGGGGCUCAUGACGGUACCGUAAGAAUAAGCACCGGCUAACUACGUGCCAGCAGCCGCGGUAA
rnacentral:rRNA from 1 species